rnacentral:rRNA from 1 species
CCCUUAGAUGUUCUGGGCCGCACGCGCGCUACACUGAUGCACUCAACGAGUCUCCACCUUGACCGAAAGGUCCGGGAAACCUUCGAACUUGCAUCGUGAUGGGGAUAGAUUAUUGCAACUAUUAAUCUUCAACGAGGAAUACCUAGUAAGCGCAAGUCAUCAGCUUGCGUUGAUUACGUCCCUGCCCUUUGUACACACCGCCCGUCGCUCCUACCGAUUGAAUGGUCCGGUGAAGCGUUCGGACCGUGGCCUUUGGACGGUUCGCCGUCUGUUGGCUGCGGGAAGUUCGUUAAACCUUNUNAUUUAGNGGAAGGAGAANUCGUANCA